UUAGGUCGUCCCGUAGGAGAAAUAUGGAUUCAACAGUGGAUACGUUUGGAAGUAAUAAAUAAAGGUUUGCGGCGUGGUACAUGCCUCUCUCCAUCUCAGUCUCAGGAUUCUCCAGGAUAAACGUUGCUGUGGCUAUUUGUUUUUCAAUUCUAUAUGGCCCCUCGUAAAUUGCGAAGAAUUUGGCUAUUUUUUUAUUUACAGGGUCGCUAACGUUGCACGCUUUGGCUAAAACUAAA